CUAUUCCCUCCUAAUUUCUUACCUAAAAAAAUUAGAAAUUUCAACCUAAUUGGGAUUUCCCCCAAUCCUAAUUGUGAUCGGAUCUUCAGUUGGCUGUUCCUCUUAAUUUCUCACUUGAAAAAAAAAAUUAGAAAUUCCCUCGUAGUAGUUUGUAUUCGCCUCAAUUCUUUUUUCACUUCAAAAAAAAAUUAGAAAUCCCCUCCUAGUUUGUAUUCCCCCAAUCCUAAUCAGUUAUCACAAUCGAUCUUCAAUUAUUGUGGCCCCUAAUCUCCUUCUUAGAUUCAAGCAAUUGAGCAUCUUCGUAUUCAGCGGUCUGCAUUCUGCACUAACUGAUUCCAGAAAUCGUUAAUCGUUUCAUUAGGUAGCGUGGAGCUAGUGGUAGACUGAGUUCAAAAGCUGGUAAAAAGGUGUGGAUGAGGCGUUGUUUGCGGGCUAAGGAAAUCCACAUGUCUCAAAAAAAUAUGUACACAAUCCAGAAAAAGUUUUGCUAGAAUUUGUGAAGAUAUGGAACAAAUGAAGAACUAUAAACCUCUAGAAGAUGGAAGUGCUUUGGUCUAUUAUUGUGCGGUUGUAUGAACUUCAAAGCGAGCUUUGAAGUUGAAAAAACACAGUUACUCGAAAUGUGAAACAAAAUUGAAGAGGACCAUCAAUGGAAGAAAAGUUUAGGUGGAAGCUAUGCAGGAAGGUUUUGAUAGCAAACGAGCAAACUUUGAAGCUAUGAUGCGAUGAAUUAUGGAAAAACUACCUAUUGGAGUGCUUUAGAAUCUUAGAUAUGAGUAGGUGGUUUCCGUUACUUAUUAUCAUUGUAAUUGACAGAUUUGUUUUGAUGACAUUGUUAUUAAUUUGGAGUUUGGACAUAUAUCAAACUAUGAUAUAAGAUUCUCUAUUAUGUUUAUGUUA